AGUGAACGCUGGCGGUAGGCCUAACACAUGCAAGUCGAACGGCAGCACAGUAAGAGCUUGCUCUUACGGGUGGCGAGUGGCGGACGGGUGAGGAAUACAUCGGAAUCUACUUUUUCGUGGGGGAUAACGUAGGGAAACUUACGCUAAUACCGCAUACGACCUACGGGUGAAAGCAGGGGAUCUUCGGACCUUGCGCGAUUGAAUGAGCCGAUGUCGGAUUAGCUAGUUGGCGGGGUAAAGGCCCACCAAGGCGACGAUCCGUAGCUGGUCUGAGAGGAUGGAUCGCCACACUGGAACUGAGACACGGUCCAGACUCCUACGGGAGGCAGCAGUGGGGAAUAUUGGACAAUGGGCGCAAGCCUUAUCCAGCCAUACCGCGUGGGUGAAGAAGGCCUUCGGGUUGUAAAGCCCUUUUGUUGGGAAAGAAAAGCAGCAGGUUAAUACCCCGCUGUUCUGACGGUACCCAAAGAAUAAGCACCGGCUAACUUCGUG
rnacentral:rRNA from 1 species